CCACCCUUACUCAAAGCCUUCUCAGCACUUGACUUUAGUGUCUUUGCUCUAGCCCUUAUCGCAUCACCUUUGUCCUCCAUUACUUGUCUAAUCGUUGUCUCUAUCUCCUCCCUGCCCACCGCUACUGGUGGCGUUGACUUCAACCGAACAGCCACCCCAAUAUCCUCCGUGAGCAUUGUAGCGUUCAUCCUCUGCUCUGCAUAUAGUGGCCAAGCAAUCAUGGGUACCCCAUUUACUAUACUCUCCAGGGUUGAG
rnacentral:misc_RNA from 1 species